rnacentral:rRNA from 1 species
GACGAACGCUGGCGGCGUGCUUAACACAUGCAAGUCGAACGGAAAGGCCCUGCUUUUGUGGGGUGCUCGAGUGGCGAACGGGUGAGUAACACGUGAGUAACCUGCCCUUGACUUUGGGAUAACUUCAGGAAACUGGGGCUAAUACCGGAUAGGAGCUCCUGCUGCAUGGUGGGGGUUGGAAAGUUUCGGCGGUUGGGGAUGGACUCGCGGCUUAUCAGCUUGUUGGGGGGGUAGUGGCUUACCAAGGCUUUGACGGGUAGCCGGCCUGAGAGGGUGACCGGCCACAAUGGGACUGAGAUACGGCGCAGACUCCUACGGGAGGCAGCAGUGGGGAAUAUUGCACAAUGGGCGGAAGCCUGAUGCAGCAACGCCGCGUGCGGGAUGACGGCCUUCGGGUUGUAAACCGCUUUCGCCUGUGACGAAGCGUGAGUGACGGUAAUGGGUAAAGAAGCACCGGCUAACUACGUG